ACCACCUGUUUCCCUUUCUGGGUGUUUUUGGCCACAGGAAGUGGUUGUGCAAGGCUGAGCCAGCAGCUGGCCGGCUGCCAGCCUGUGGAGAAAGCUUCCUAGAGCUCCUCCAAGGCUUUCAAUUCCCCUUUCUUGCCACUGUUUCCUGCAGCACCACACAGGCUUUACCAGCAGCAACACCACAGUGCACUCGAAGAGUGGGGGGAAUUCUCUGGCUUCGCAGGUUCCAGUGGCCUGGGCAAGGGCAGACCCAUGGUGGGCAGGCUCUGGGACUCCUGCCCCGCAGCCAUAGGGCUGCAUUUUCCCGCUCUCCGACACGAUGGUCUGGGUGCCCCCAGCAGGCAAGGCUCUUGGGGCCUCUCUGAGGAGCUGUGGGGUUCAACAGAGAUAAGAUAGCACAAACUAGGGUUUUGGAUGCAAGUUCACUUGCAGAAGGGUGGUAAAAGGGCCUUCAAACUUGCAUAUAAGUAAAAUAAGGGGUAAUUCUCCCCUGGAAACACCAUAGCAGUCUCUAGAGGGAUUCCUGAGAAGCAAACUCCAGCCUCAGAGGUGGCUGGGCUUUGCAAAACCUUGGUCUCUCACUUCUGCAACCUGUGGCAGCUAAGCAGGAGCCUUGGUGAACAGAGCUUGUUACUUUUAGCACAGGAAAAUCCUAAGCUUAAAACAACCUAUGUAUAAAAAAUGUUGACAGCACCAAUUUUGGUGCUUAUGCCACCAUAAAGAAACUACUAAAAUAAAGAAAAGCAGGAAAAUGCUUAAUUGUGGAGCUUUAUUAUGUCCUGCUGUGCUGGUGAUGAAGACCUAUUAUGUCCUGCAGCCUCUGCAAUGAGUCUGACUGCUCUGAGAGAGCACAGACUUGUUCCAGGGUUGAACAUGGACAUAGUUGUUGAGUAUUAAUGUCUAAUUAUUAUACCUAAUUUUCAGAGUGAGCCUUUCUUUCAAUAUGAAAUGUCUAUUUUUACCCUUUUCUGAACUGUUGUUUCAGACAUUGUACAGGUUCAAGAUGACUAUACUGAAUGUUAGUAGGUACAUACUGAAGAGGAUGGGGCUGAAUUAACUUUUUGAAAUAGCUCUUCCACCACAAGGAUUAAUAUCUAGUGCCUUCCUUUUAACUGAUGGCUUUUAUUCUAUAGUAUAAAUUUCUGGUAGUGUCUCUGGAGUAUAUUUGUAAGUAUAUUUGCCAAAGUUAUAUAUUGAAUAAUUCCUCUAUUUCCAGAAUGCCUGAGAUGACCACAUACAGAAUGUAAUUAAAAAUGAACAUACUACAUUAUUCUGCUUUUCUAUCAGCUUUUUAACAUCUUACUAGGAAAUACCUUUUCCUGUCUUAUUACAUUUUCUAUACAAAUUAAUGUCAUUGACAUGAAGAAAACAAGCAUAUUUAAUGAAGGGGAUUGGCUAAAACUAUUAAUUUGUGUUAGAAUAUUAUGAAGCAUUAUUUCCACACCACCAGCUGGUACAGAACCCAACCAAUCAAAUAUCAUGGGGAAGCCUGUGGUUUUCAAGUAUUUGGGGUGUAUGGAAAGGAAAAGAUUAUAGAAGAGACUUUUUUUCAUGGGGUAUUGACUGGUUGACAAGUCAGACUAUAUAUAUUUUUCUGUCCUCUGAUGGCUGGUCAGAAUUAAGCAAAAGAUGUCUUGGAAAAGAAAGGAGAUGUUUUAGACUCCCAAACUUGAUUAGUUUUCAUCUGGUGAUUAUCAUAUACUCAGCUCUUUGAUUUAAGCCUUUGAUGGAGUUUCCACUCCAGAGAAGUGGAGCAUGACUGAAGCAGAGAUUGACACUAUGGCAGGUUUUGAGGGCUUUCAGCAAUACCCUCGACAAACACAGCACAAGUGCCAAAGUACAUGUGUUUCUUGAGAUAACACUUCACCAAUGUUAUGUUAAUUCCUCAACUAGUAUAAUUACUAAGACAGUAAAAAGCACUUGGAAAGAAUAUCUUUUCCAGGAAGUUUUCUGCUGCUGGUUUUGGUUGAAUCUACCUUACCAUACAGGUGUGUUCUUAUCACACACUCUGUGCAAGGAGAACACUCCCUAAUAGUAAAAAACUAGCAGGACACAGCUGCCCACCAGACAGUCUCUCCAAAGUGAAUGGCACUGUCCAAGAGAGAGAAAUUUAUUUGUGGACCUAGGAAAAAUCCCUGUUAAGGAAGGUAUGUUUGAAAUUAUGUCUUUCUUGGAAGAGGUCUCAAACAGUAUGGGCCUGAGAAUCCCCAAUCUUUCCUUCUUCCUUUACUUGGAGCUUUCUGCUAUCUUGGUAGGAGGUCUCCUUUUUAUUUGUAUUAGUUCCUAGGAACUGAAUGUAACUUUUGUCUGUUGAUGGGUUUUGCAGCAUUUGCAAGAUGACCCUUUCCCACUGCCCUGAAUGCUUUCCCAUUCUGCAUGGAUGAUGCACAUGUUCUUGGUCUGUUUAGAUUAUUUUUCACCAGAAAUAAGUUCUAUUUCAUGAAAGUGGAGAAUUGUGGAGAAAACUUAUUGACUGCUAAUGAAGCUUGGGCAGAUGCUUAGCAGAACAGUAAAAUAAGUGCUUUGGAGUGUUUCACUUUCUCUCUAUACCCCCCUCUUUUUUAUCUUUGCUAAAAUUCAGGCUGUCAGUGUUGGUACCUUGUUUUGUUGUUGGCCCUUCUGAGUGUGCUUGGUAAACUGCUGAGCUGAGUGCAUUUGGGAGGGUGGGCCCUGUGCUGGUGUCAUUGCAGCCUGUGAUAGAAUGAAAAUAGCUUUUGCGCCAGUAUUUUGGUGUUUCUAGGGAGGUCCUUGUAGAAUCAGGAGUGGGCAGAUGCUGUAGUGGG